UACGUAGGUGGCGAGCGUUGUCCGGAAUUACUGGGUGUAAAGGGCGUGUAGGCGGGGAGACAAGUCAGAUGUGAAAUACCGAGGCUUAACUUCGGGGGUGCAUCUGAAACUGUUUUUCUUGAGUGUCGGAGAGGAAAGUGGAAUUCCUAGUGUAGCGGUGAAAUGCGUAGAUAUUAGGAGGAACACCAGUGGCGAAGGCGACUUUCUGGACGAUAACUGACGCUGAGGCGCGAAAGCGUGGGGAGCAAACAGGAUUAGAGACCCUGGGAGUCCACGCCGUAAACGAUGGAUACUAGGUGUAGGAGGUAUCGACCCCUUCUGUGCCGCAGUUAACACAAUAAGUAUCCCACCUGGGGAGUACGGCCGCAAGGUUGAA
rnacentral:rRNA from 1 species